CACAGUCUUAAUUUAAUAAAACACAGUGGAACCCCCUGAAAUAGCGUGAAAUUCAGAAGCCUGUGGUCGGGCUGAAGCGUCGUGUGCUGGCCGGCAGAUGUUUGGAAAGGUGCUAAGAUGUAACUCUUAUUGUCCAUAGAAUUUGCUGUUAACCACUUGCAAGAUACAAAGUGACGGCCAGCUGGAUGAAUAGGAGAAUGUAUGUGAACACCCGGAACUGACAGACCCGGCACGGUGCAUGUGGCUUGAAGUGGGCACUGAGAGAAAGCUCAGACAACAUUUAUACAUGCUAUUAACAUUCACAUUAAUUUCCACUGGGACACGACUUAAUUAAGGUGAGCUGUACAAAGUUCAUCUCAUUUCCCUUUACGCUCCAUUCCAUACACAAUGUAUGUUACCAGAGAGAUACUGCGCUAUGCUUCACUACUUUAAUCACUGGCCUGUCCCAUUGUAGUUCAGGAACGCAUGCAAGUGUACUGUUCUUAUUAGAGGCACGGUCUGGAGAAGAUGGCCGGGGAGCUGAGCAUCAUUUCUACAUCAGCUGCUGAAGCGCCCACUAACUUUGGAUGUCGCCUAAACCUUCAGAUGGAAUCCUUGCAGGCAUUCCCGUGGGGAUCGGGAAAUUGCAGUAUGCCGGAACUACCGUUGCUGAUGUGGGGCGAGCGCUCUGAAGUGCACUUGGAGAAGAACGCAUUCCAAUCCCGCAUAUAUGAAAAUUUAAUAUUUUAGACAGCUAGAUGAAAUGCUGGGGUCUUGGUGCAUUUUGCUUUGGCGGUCCAGGCUUUUCAGCAUCUUAGGGAAAUGUUUGGAAAUGAAUUUUAUUUUCACAACUGUGGUACAAUUACAAGGCGGGGAUGUUUCACCCUUCUCACCGAGGUGCCCUUGGUGGUGG
ensembl:lncRNA